AUUUACAUUUAUGCCAUCCUGAACAAGCCCGAUCCUGUCUGAUUUCGGAAGCUAAGCAGGGUCGGGCCUGGUUAGUACUUGGAUGGGAGAUCAUCUAGGAAGACCGGGUGCUAUAGGCG
rnacentral:rRNA from 1 species